GAGACUUUCAUAGCUAGAAUCUGUUUGCUGUGUGUGAAGAAGUAUCUAUGUUUUAAGUAGAUUAUUUUGCCUUAGGAUUUUGUGUCCAGGUUCCUCCUACUACAAUUCCAUCAGCUAUCAUCCUGCUUUAGUUUUAAAUGUCUUCAAGGUUAUUUUGAGUGUUAAUGUAUCUGUGUUGACAACAGAAAAGUUUGUAGAUUCAAAGCACGAGUAAUGCAUUGGAUAUGCAGUGGUUGUCGAUAACCCCCCUUGAGGAGCCCCUUGCAGCCACGUACAGAGUUAUGUGGGUGACACCAGCUCUGUGUAACUCUUUGUUCCCACUUCGGUACUGAAACAAAAGUUGAGCCUGUUGUGCCUCUUGCAGGCAUGUGUAAAUUAAGGAGGUCCUUCUCCUACUAUAACAUGACAUGGGAAGAACACAUCUGCAAAGAGCUGUUGCACCAGUACAGGAGAUGGGCAAACAAAUCCUUCAGGCCACCCUUGCAGUCCAGUCACUGACUGAGGUCAGCUCCACUGCCUUCUAGGUUCACUCAUACACCCAGCCAUCCCAUCUUGGAGUGCUUCCUCAGAAAAGGCAGGAAGUGCUUUGAAAAAGCUGCCUUGUCUUGGCGCUGAAACUCUCUGAGACACAGUUCAAGUGCACAAGGAAAACUUGUUGAACGCUCCUGCCCUACCGCCUGGCUAGGAUCUUGUGCUUUAUUUACGGCUUUCCUUAUUACAUCAAGUCCAGGACGCAGCUCAUCUACGAUUCCACCUUCUCUAGGCAAGAGCUAAUAUUUUGACUCCUCAGACAUAUCGGCCCUACUUAGUCUCAGCACUGCUUGGCCAUGAAAUUCCAUAUGGAUUUUGGGAUAUUUCUCUGCACUUUUUAAGGCCCCUGAUGAUGACAAGAUUCAAGGCUACCCCAGUGUGGUAUUUCCUGCAUUGCUGUAGUGCCUGUACCAAUGACCUUUGCCAUAACAACUGAAACGUAUCUGAUCCUGGAGACUGAACGUCUUGCAUGUUCCCUGAGAGCAGACAAUUUGGAAAACCUUCAGGUCUGAGCCAAGGCUCAUGAAAAAAAAAUAAGGAAUUUGAGAGUCAAAAACCAGAACACCCAGACAAUGAUGGCCAAUGGAAAUAUGUGGAUUCUCUGAUGCCAGUGAACUGCUCAGUGUGUUUUUUGUUGAUAAUGGAUAAUUAUCCAUGAGCAAGGCAGGAAAUUCAAAGCAAUUGAGAGAAUAGGUCAAAUGGAAUCAGUGACAACCAGAUGCAAUAACUCUGCUCCGGGCUCUUUCAAACAUAUCCGGUAUCAUGCAAGCCAAUUAGCUGUCCUGUUUGUGCCUGUUGAAGAAAGAACUGGAUCUGAAUGCUGCUCAGUGAAUUGAUGGCACUAAUGUACCUGUGUGAGCCUGGCCCUGGCUUCUUAGAGCUGGACCCUCUGGAGGCUGCAUUACUGCACUAGAAAUCUGACUGUCCAGCGGGACACUGAUGGGGAGCUGUGAGACACUGAUGGGGAGCUGUGAGACACGGACAGGGAGCUGCUGUGCUGCCCAGGGACCGGACGUGAUGGAUGACGAGCAACGGCUAGAGACAGCACAGUGACUUGCACCUGAACAAGAAGGUCCUUUAAUGAACAUUUCUGCCUCAGUCACUCUGCCAGAUUCAGUGAUGGCUACAUGUUAUUGCUAGUUAUAGUCUGAUAAAAUAUUAUUGUCCCUUCAACAUUUUUCCCCUUUCAGAACUUAAAUACUAUCAGCUGUCUUUGCUGUGUAUAGAUAAUGUAGUAUGAGAAUUCCCUGUUACUGUCCUUGACAGCUCAGGCCAAAAAAGGCGAAAUAACAGGUUAACCUUAUAUGUUUGCCUUAGAAGGAAAAUAAAGUGUGCAAGCCCAGUUCCAAUGCAUCUGGUGAAACUUUGUAUAGACUAGGCUGAGAUUGGUUCCCCUGCAUGAUGUGCAGCUGCCUUUGCUGUGUAUAGAUAAUGUAGUAUGAGAAUUCCCUGUUAUUUCACCUUUUUUGGCCUGAGCUGUCAAGGAUAGUGCUGACCUAGCUUAAAAGGCACACCUGUAACUCUAGUUGUAAAGUGCGAAGGAAUUGCUGUACCUGUAAACUCUUCUUCAGCUUUCCUGAAGCCAGUUCACCUAGCUGCAUACACGGUUUAUCUCCGUCAUUACUACUUUUCUUCCUUUCACCUUAAUUUUGUCCCUUCUCCCUAUGAUUUGCUCUGAUGUACAACUUUAGUGUGCAACCAAUGUCUGUAAACUAAACUCAGCUAAAGGAAAUGUCUUCCUUCUUCCAUCUUGUACCACUGAUUUUGAGACAAUUUAAGCAUAAAUUAAAAUCACUACUACUCUCCUCCACUUUUAUUAAUAAAUUCAUAAAUUCAUGUUGUGAAGAAAAUUGUAAAGAUAUGUGACUGAAGAAAAUACUUCUGCUAUAGCAAGUUUAUCAGAGAAAGGCUAAGAACACACUAUGAGUGUACCCAACAUAAUAGUAGUAGCUAAGUAUCUGUUCAGUCACCACAUCAACUAAUGGAUAACAUGGCUAGAGGAAGAAUGGACCUUUGUAAAAUAUUAAUUGCAACAGAGGAACUUCAGUUGUUUCCUUCUUCCCUGAAUACAAUUAUUCCUUUAAGUAAAGUUACUGAUUCAAAUCCUCAGGAUCUGUAACUAGACUAGUUCCCUGGAUUUCCUUCUUCUUAAUAUCUGAAUUCUUGCUGUCACAGAAGAGAUAAAAGAUGGCUCUUUUAGAAAGGAUUUAACUUUUCCGCAUUAAAACCUAGUUAGCAUCCAUGAUCAUAGAGAGAAGGAAUAUUUCAUAGGUGUGUAAUCCAGAUACUAUUUUUAGUCGGAAAAUAGUGUUUAGUGACAUGUCACAUACUGAUGUUUCAAGUCUAAUACCAAAUCUAAUCCAGAACUGAUAAUUCUAAAUAAAAGGACAAACCUUUGGAAGUUUUGUGAGGGAUAUAUGCAAUUGAAUGGAAACAACAUUUUUUAGAACCUUCACUGGGAGGAAAUAUGAGGCUGAACUAAUAGUAAGAUUAUUAGUCAUCAUUUUCCUGUUAAUAAUGUUUUGAGUAUUCAAUCAGAAAAGAAAAAUCAGAAUGAAAAUACUAAAAAGACAACAUCAUAUGAGCUGAGUAACUAUAUAACAUAAAUAUCAAACAGGGACUGGCCAAGGCCUAUUUGUAAUUUGGAACAGGAAUAUUACUUGUCACAUUUUUCAGCUAUUCCUCAUAAAUUAUGGAUGUAUGUAGAAGGUUAGGAUCAGUUCACAGUAAUUCACUAACCAAUAUAGAGUUUAAAUUAAUCAGGAACAGUAUUCACCAGGAAUAGCUCGAUCAGUGCUUCUCCAUUUAUAGUUGGCGAGUAAAUCAAAUAAAUCUGAGGCCACACCAAAUCCUUUUCACAACUGUGGCCUAAGAGGAUAUUUAAAGGCCUCGAUCUUGUUGAGUCACUGAUGAAAAGUGGUUUGUUUUCUGCAUUGCCUAUAGGAAGAAGAACAAUGUUGAUUUCUUCUCUCUCUCCUCCUCCCAUUCCUCUUUUUGGUUAAUUCCUAAAACAAUAUAAUCCUUCUUUCCUGCCAAUGUCUUGGCAUUUCUUCAUCUUCUGCACAGGGUUUACCCUUAUAUCCUUAAUACUAGCUCUCUGGCUAAUUUUGUGUUUUGUACUUUCACAGUGUUGUAUAGACCUUGUAACAUUAAACUGCUGUGAUGAAUUUUUAAGAAAUAAGAUUAGUUCUGAAAUCCAAACCAUUUUAGCACAUAUUAAUAAAAUUAUUUUCCAAAUUCCAAA